rnacentral:rRNA from 1 species
UACGAAGGGGGCUAGCGUUGCUCGGAAUUACUGGGCGUAAAGCGUGCGCAGGCGGUUUGCUAAGACAGGUGUGAAAUCCCCGGGCUUAACCUGGGAACUGCGCUUGUUACUGGCAGGCUUGAGUGUGGCAGAGGGGGGUGGAAUUCCACGUGUAGCAGUGAAAUGCGUAGAGAGUGUGGAGGAACACCGAUGGCGAAGGCAGCCCCCUGGGCUAACACUGACGCUCAUGCACGAAAGCGUGGGGAGCAAACAGG